rnacentral:rRNA from 1 species
ACGCAAUGUGAUUACUCCCGUACUUGCUACAUUUGAAUUGAUUGAGUCGCGAACGGGUGAGUAACGCGUAGGUAACCUACCUUAUAGCGGGGGAUAACUAUUGGAAACGAUAGCUAAUACCGCAUAAGAGUUGACAACACAUGUUGUUAAUUUAAAAGGAGCAAUUGCUUCACUAUGAGAUGGACCUGCGUUGUAUUAGCUAGUUGGUAAGGUAACGGCUUACCAAGGCUUCGAUACAUAGCCGACCUGAGAGGGUGAUCGGCCACACUGGGACUGAGACACGGCCCAGACUCCUACGGGAGGCAGCAGUAGGGAAUCUUCGGCAAUGGGGGGAACCCUGACCGAGCAACGCCGCGUGAGUGAAGAAGGUUUUCGGAUCGUAAAGCUCUGUUAUAAGCGAAGAACGGGAGUAAGAGUGGAAAGUUUACUCUGUGACGGUAGCUUAUCAGAAAGGGACGGCUAACUACGUGCCAGCAGCCGCGGUAAUACGUAGGUCCCGAGCGUUGUCCGGAUUUAUUGGGCGUAAAGCGAGCGCAGGUGGUUUAAUAAGUCUGAAGUUAAAGGCAUUGGCUCAACCAAUGUACGCUUUGGAAACUGUUAAACUUGAGUGCAGAAGGGGAGAGUGGAAUUCCAUGUGUAGCGGUGAAAUGCGUAGAUAUAUGGAGGAACACCGGUGGCGAAAGCGGCUCUCUGGUCUGUAACUGACACUGAAGCUCGAAAGCGUGAGUAGCGAACAGGAUUAGAUACCCUGGUAGUCCACGCCGUAAACGAUGAGUGCUAGGUGUUGGGUCCUUUCCGGGACUCAGUGCCGCAGCUAACGCAUUAAGCACUCCGCCUGGGGAGUACGACCGCAAGGUUGAGACUCAGAGGAAUUGACGGGCGCCCGCACAAGCGGUGGAG